AGCCGAAAUUGUGGUGUGUGUUGGAAAACAGCAGCAAGUACUUAUUCCUUGGACACCUUGUCCUCAGCUAAGGCAUUUGCUAGGCACCCGUAGGAAUAUAUGCUUGAGAAAUAGGCGAAACUACUUGCGAACACGUGCACCGACCAAGGCUGCUGUAUGCCCUGCAGUGCAUAUAAACACAUGGUGGGAGUGAGCUCAGGGUGAAAAGAUGUGUUAAGAAACACAUUAUAUCAACCACAUCCGCCCUUCCACACAUUCUGGGAAAAUGACAGUUUAUGCUUUCAAUGUUGCCGUUUCCAAAGAACCGUGAUUUAGUGUCUCAUAUAAAAGUACAGCAGGCAAGCUGGAUCCAUUUCAAAUUUACUAGUAAAAUUAAAAUUAGUUCUUUGAAAAUUGAAAAACUUUCAGCCAAGAGAUUCAUUCUGGUUUCAUGACAUUUGUAAAAUUGUUCUAUGUUUAAGGUUUUAGGUAUUGAAAACAUCUGUCCUAUUUCCUAAGGUAAAACUCAAUGCUAAAAGGAAUGACAGUGAAAAAAGGUGACUGAUGAGCUUUUGAAUUUCAACUCUCUUUACUACUUGGAGUCUGGAAAUAGCUUGUGAUAGGCAGAAUAUGGAUCCCCCAAAGAUGUCCACGUCCUAAUCCCUGCAAUUUGUGAAUAUGUUGCUUUUGUAAGGAACUUUGCAGAUGUGAUUAAAUUAAGAAUCUUGAGAUGGGAAGAUUAUCUUGGAUUAUUUUAGUGGGCCUAAAUGAAUCACACAAAUCUUCAAAAUCAGACAACCUUUUCUUGCCAUAGUUGGAAGGCGAUAUUCCUGCAGAAGAAAAGUUAAAAAGAUGCAACUUUGCUGGCUUUGAAAAUGGAGAAUAGGCCAUAAACAAAGGAAUGGAGCAGCUGCAAGGAGCUAAAAGACAAAGAAAUAGAUUUCCCCCUAGAACCUCCAGAAAGGAAUGCAGCCCAGCUGAUGCCCUGAUUUUAGUCCAGUGCAACCUGUGUUGGACUUCUAACUUCAAGAACUGUAAGGAUGGUAGGACCUACAGAUUCUUGAUUAGAUUAUAGAUGCAAAAAAAGAACCUGGAAUUAUUCCCCAAGAAGCUCCUUCUUCUGAAACCAAGAGGUGAGGAAUGCUCGUCUGCUCCAGGACAUGCUCAGUGAGAUGAAAAGCUGUAUGCAUGGGAGUUGGGCCAUGAAGUGCAAGACGCAAACCCUUGAAAUCGUUUUUAAUGAAAUAUAAACAUUGAGUUAGCAUGAGGGCCACAGUUUCUGGGUGGUUGGUUCUAAGUUUGGCAAUCAGGACAUAGAGGGAAAAUUCUCCUGCUUUAAUGGCCUCCAGAUGUUCUUUUGGUCCCAACUGAAAAUUUCUCAUCAUUUAUGGUUAAUAUUUUUGUCAGCAGCAGAGUUUUGUUGUAAUGUCUCCAAACUGGUGGUAGUGACCAUUAGUCAUUAGACAAACCCCAAAUAAGGGUUUAAUCUUGGGGUCACUUUAAGUGUUCCAUUAUAUUUCACUUAAUGAAUAGUCAUCAGAAUGUUCUGUUUGUACAACAGGGGACUACAUGAUUCUAUCUGAUGACAACCAGUCAGUGAUCUCAGGUAUAAAAUGCAAUGUCCUAUUGUAACAAUGGCUGGCAUUACACCCAACAUCUAGAAGAAAAAAAACAAUGAUGUCAGAAGGCAGUCAUCUGGAGUGAAUAAAAGGCAAGAGGCUUAUUGCAAAUUCUAAUGCACUUCAUCAUAGAAUUUUAAUUAACUAUUCCAUUCACACCAAUUGGGGACUAUUAAAGCAGUCGUUUCUGAGAAGCAAUCUUUGGGAAAUUCAGGUAAAAAAAGACAACUUCUGUCUUCUGGAACAAUAAGGUUAUGACUUCCUACACCUAAUAAAAGGUGACUAUAUAGCCAGGCGUGGUGGCACGCGCCUGUAAUUCCAGCUACUCAGAAGGCUGAGGAAUGAGAAUCGCUUGAACCCGGGAGGUGGAGGUUGCAGUGAGUAGAGAUCGCACCACUGCACUCAAGCCUAGAUGACAGUGAGACUCUGUCCCCCACUCCCCCCACAAAAGUUAUCAUGCAGGAUCUGCCCUGGGAUAUAGUUUAAUUAUGUAACAUAGUCUGAAAAUAAGCAAAUUACUUAUAUACAUGCUUUGAUCUUUCUCUAUCUGAGGAAUGGGAAGAACAUAGUUUACCUCUCUAGAAGUCGCUUCUGAGAAUUGUGGUCCAUGCUCCAUUCUGAAUCCACAAGGAAAGGCCUUCACACUAUACAUGGCAAUUGCCAUUAGAUAUUGUCUUCUGGUUAUGGCGCAAUGGGCUGAUUGCCUUAGUUAUGUCAGAAAGGUGUUUGAAGAGCCUAUUGUGACUUGCCUGGUUUUAAAGGCUUGAGUUAUAACUGGCUAAUAAUACACAUUGAUACUGUCUGCAGCUUUUAACAAGUGUUUUUUGUUUGUGCUUAAUACUUAUCAGAUGACUAGGUAAUUUUUGAGGUUGACUCACCAGGGCAUUUGGUUUCAUGGGUCAUUAGGGACCUGAAUUACAGGCCCUUCACAACACUUAGCAAGUGAAUCAUACUGAACAAUAGAAUCUCUUUUAACCUUUGUCUUUUUAAAAAUUAAAUGAUAAUAAAUCAUUCGACCCUACAUUAAAUCUUCUCCUCUCC
rnacentral:lncRNA from 10 species